AAGUAUGCUGUUUCAAUUUGAUCUGCUAUUUCGGGUGAUCUAGUCCCUGUUAGUUCUUGACAGUCCAGGAGGCGCCUGGUGCAUCCCACGGACUCAUUUAAAUGUUCCCUGAGUGCUUCGUCUGUGCCGCACGUUGCUCUGCGUGGUGGAGAUAAAUGAGGAGUAGAAGCUGCGCCUGGCCUGAAGGCACCCCAGGUCACUCUUGGGGAAACACAGUGCCCAUCGCUGAUGCUCACCAAGGUUCCGGUCCUGCGGACAAGCCCCUGCCAUGCACCUGAUCGUGGAUCUGGCCUCUGUGACCGGCUCUGGAAGUUCCCAUGAAUGGACUCUUCCUCGCCUUCUUGCCCUGCCUCUGUGUCUCGUGUCCUUAUAAGAACACCAGUCACUGGAUUCCAGGCUGACCCUCAUCCAGCUCAACCUCAUCUCCACUCUCAACUAUCUGCAGAGACCUGUUUCCACACAAGCUCACAUCACGAGGCUCUGGGGGGACGUGGAUUUUGGAGGAACACCUCUCAGCCCACUACAGAGCCUUUUACUACCAUCAAUCAAAUGAAUUUUUCAAAGGCACGUCUGUUAUACAUUUUUUUUUCAGUGAGCUUUUUCUGAGAACUUUUUGGGUUCAAAGCACCCAGAUGGUAUAAAUGACGUGGAAAAUGGCCCUCCCAAAAAGAUGCCAUGAGGGAGCUGCACAUGGGGCUGGGGGGAGUCGGAGACAGCACGUGUGAGCGGACGUGUGGCCGGCACCCAAACCAGACGCCAUGUGAUUACAGAUCCUGCAGGGAAUUACAGGAGGCAACUCAACGUAGGAGAUUGGUGUCAUACUAACAGAAAACCAAGACUGAAGAGACAGGAACGACUGUCCGGGUUUCCCAGACAGGACCGUCCCAGGAAGCAGACAACACAGGCCUGCGUGCGGCCCUGGCCUUGAGUGUGCUGGACGCAGGGGACCGUCCCAGGAAGCGGACAACACAGCCCUGCGUGCGGCCCUGGCCGUGAGUGUGCUGGACGCAGGGGACCGUCCCAGGAAGCGGACAACACAGCCCUGCGUGCGGCCCUGGCCGUGAGUGUGCUGGACGCAGGGGACCGUCCCAGGAAGCGGACAACACAGGCCUGCGUGCGGCCCUGGCCGUGAGUGUGCUGGACGCAGGGGACCGUCCCAGGAAGCGGACAACACAGGCCUGCGUGCGGCCCUGGCCGUGAGUGUGCUGGACGCAGGGGACCGUCCCAGGAAGCGGACAACACAGGCCUGCGUGCGGCCCUGGCCGUGAGUGUGCUGGACGCAGGGGACCGUCCCAGGAAGCGGACAACACAGGCCUGUGUGCGGCCCUGGCCGUGAGUGUGCUGGACGCAGGGGACCGUCCCAGGAAGCGGACAACACAGGCCUGCGUGUGGCCCUGGCCGUGAGUGUGCUGGACGCAGGGGACCGUCCCAGGAAGCGGACAACACAGGCCUGCGUGUGGCCCUGGCCGUGAGUGUGCUGGACGCAGGGGACCGUCCCAGGAAGCGGACAACACAGGCCUGUGUGCGGCCCUGGCCGUGAGUGUGCUGGACGCAGGGGACCGUCCCAGGAAGCGGACAACACAGGCCUGCGUGCGGCCCUGGCCGUGAGUGUGCUGGACGCAGGGGACCGUCCCAGGAAGCGGACAACACAGGCCUGCGUGCGGCCCUGGCCGUGAGUGUGCUGGACGCAGGGGACCGUCCCAGGAAGCGGACAACACAGGCCUGCGUGCGGCCCUGGCCGUGAGUGUGCUGGACGCAGGGGACCGUCCCAGGAAGCGGACAACACAGGCCUGCGUGCGGCCCUGGCCGUGAGUGUGCUGGACGCAGGGUACCGUCCCAGGAAGCGGACAACACAGCCCUGCGUGCGGCCCUGCCGUGAGUCUCCACCUUUCUGUCUCUCUGGGCUGUGGCUGGGCAGCACGGAAGGGGGGAAUCACCUACCUUUUGGUCCAG
ensembl:lncRNA novel transcript